UACAGAAUACACAAUGCAAAGAAAAGUAAGACUGCCUUCUGUAAAGCAAUUGAGAAAGAAAAAAGAGACUCAAUAUUUUCACAUAACAACCCUUAAAAUGCUAAGCAAUACUGGCAUUAAAACUGGCAGUACAAUUCAAGAUUGUCUUGGAAACAGAGGACAUUAAGGAAAUUGGUGCUGACCACCAUCUGGGAGCUCAGGUGGAGCUGAAAGGCACAGCCCCUGGUACUCCUCCAUGUGGACCUAUCUACAUGGCUACUCGGGCUUCGUCAGAGCAUGGCCACUGGAUUCCAAACAGGAGGAAAUAGGAAGCCCCCAGUCCACUUAUGGCUUGGACCCAGAAGACCUAGAAUGCCAUGUAUGCCACAUUUUAUUUAUCAGAGCAGUCAGAUGGCCAGUGCAGAAUUACAGGAAGAAGAAUUACACUCUACUUUUGGAUGGAGGGUGGCAUGUAUGUAUGGAGACCAAAGGAACUGAUGUCAGCCAUCACUGGAGACCAUCACACAGACUUAAUUUCAUUCCAUUUCUGACCAGGUUAAGCAAAACACGCUUUCAGAGUCUCUCUACACUGUAAUAGUUCUGUAAAUUCCAAAUCAACACAACAAACCUACUCUUAGUGUAAUGUGUUUUAUCUAAGAUUUUUCUUCAUUUAGUCAUUAAAACUAAAAAGCAUUGUACAUUUUCAUUGGCUUAACUGUAUUAUUUUGAAGCAAAUAAAGCAUUUAAAACACUAAGUAAAAAGUUAGUUACUAUCCUUUUUCUAGUGUUAUGAUAUCCACCAAUAAUUUGCUGAGCAGAAAUAAUUUUCAAGGAAUUAUGCUGAAAGUAAAUGAAACUUUAAAGGCAACAGAUGCCUGAAAAGCUGACUUGAAAAGAGAAACGCAUAGUAUGAUAGCAACCAAAUAAUUAUGAAGAAUAACAGCUAAAUAUUUAACAUUUUAGUCACGCUUUGAGAAAGACAAAAUCUCUUUGAACAUAAUGCAGUGUAAAAAGAAAAAAAAAAAGAUGAGAAAGAAGAAAAAUACCAAGUAAAGGGCUAGCAGGAAAAAAAGUGAGACCAAAAUUGGUAAAAUAUAGCAUUUCAGAGAGAAUCUUAGUCAAAAAAUAAUUGAAAAAUGUUUAUUUAUUAGAAGAUCACUGCUUUAUUUACCCAAAAUGAAAUAUGGAUAUGUCAACCCCCAGUUCUGUUAAAUUAAAUAUGCCCAGAAAACCUCUUAAGAAAUUAAAAAGAUUCUGAACUA